rnacentral:rRNA from 1 species
AUGCUUAACACAUGCAAGUCGAACGGUAACAUUGGAGCUUGCUCCAGAUGACGAGUGGCGGACGGGUGAGUAACGCGUAGGAAUCUGCCUAGUAGUGGGGGACAACAUGUGGAAACGCAUGCUAAUACCGCAUACGCCCUACGGGGGAAAGCGAGGGAUCUUCGGACCUCGCGCUAUUAGAUGAGCCUGCGUUAGAUUAGCUUGUUGGUGGGGUAAUGGCCUACCAAGGCGACGAUCUAUAGCUGGUCUGAGAGGACGAUCAGCCACACUGGGACUGAGACACGGCCCAGACUCCUACGGGAGGCAGCAGUGGGGAAUAUUGGACAAUGGGCGAAAGCCUGAUCCAGCAAUACCACGUGUGUGAAGAAGGCCUGAGGGUUGUAAAGCACUUUCAAUUGGGAGGAAAACAGCUGGGUUAAUAGCCCUGCUCUUGACAUUACCUUUAGAAGAAGCACCGGCUAACUCCGUGCCAGCAGCCGCGGUAAUACGGAGGGUGCGAGCGUUAAUCGGAAUUACUGGGCGUAAAGCGUACGUAGGCGGUUAUUUAAGUCAGAUGUGAAAGCCCCGGGCUCAACCUGGGAACUGCAUUUGAAACUGGAUAACUAGAGUUUGAUAGAGGAGAGUAGAAUUUCUGGUGUAGCGGUGAGAUGCGUAGAGAUCGGAAGGAACACCAGUGG